UACGUAGGUGGCAAGCGUUUGUCCGGAUUUACUGGGCGUAAAGAGCGCGCAGGCGGUCGAUUAAGUCGAGUGUGAAAGCCCCCGGCUCAACUGGGGAGGGUCACUUGAUACUGGUCGACUCGAAGGCAGGAGAGGGAAGUGGAAUUCCCGGUGUAGUGGUGAAAUGCGUAGAUAUCGGGAGGAACACCAGUGGCGAAGGCGACUUCCUGGACCAAUACUGACGCUCAUGUGCGAAAGCGUGGGGAGCAAACAGG
rnacentral:rRNA from 1 species